rnacentral:rRNA from 1 species
UACAGAGGGGGCAAGCGUUGUUCGGAAUUACUGGGCGUAAAGGGCGCGUAGGCGGCCUUCUAAGUCGAACGUGAAAUCCCUGGGCUCAACCCAGGAACUGCGUCCGAUACUGGAAGGCUUGAAUCCGGGAGAGGGAUGCGGAAUUCCAGGUGUAGCGGUGAAAUGCGUAGAUAUCUGGAGGAACACCGGUGGCGAAGGCGGCAUCCUGGACCGGUAUUGACGCUGGAGGCGACGAAAGGCCAGGGGAGCAAAGCGGGU